rnacentral:rRNA from 1 species
UACGGGGGGGGCAAGCGUUGUUCGGAAUUACUGGGCGUAAAGGGCUCGUAGGCGGCCAACUAAGUCAGACGUGAAAUCCCUCGGCUUAACCGGGGAACUGCGUCUGAUACUGGAUGGCUUGAGAUUGGGAGAGGGAUGCGGAAUUCCAGGUGUAGCGGUGAAAUGCGUAGAUAUCUGGAGGAACACCGGUGGCGAAGGCGACAUCCUGGACCAACACUGACGCUGAGGAGCGAAAGCCAGGGGAGCAAACAGG